GACGAACCGUCCUAACGUUAUUCGGAAUCACUGGGCUUAAAGGGCGCGUAGGCGGAUGGGCAAGUCCGGAGUGAAAUCUUUCGGCUUAACCGGAAAAGUGCUUUGGAUACUGCUCGUCUUGAGGGAGGUAGGGGCAUGUGGAACUUCUGGUGGAGCGGUGAAAUGUGUUGAUAUCGGAAGGAACACCGGUGGCGAAAGCGGCGCACUGGGGCUUAACUGACGCUGAGGCACGAAAGCCAGGGUAGCGAACGGG
rnacentral:rRNA from 1 species